GUUAGACCUCUAGUCUAAGCUGGCCCACACUGAGCCUGCAGAGAAGCUAAAAUGAGGCUGUGGCUGCUGAGUUUAGUGGCAGGGAUCAUCCUGGGGGUGGCCGGGACCCCCCUGGGAAAAGCCUCAACAGGAAGAGAACGAGCAAAGGAGGAAAAGCCUGAUCCCUACAAAGAGUCCCCAGGUACCCUGGACCUUCAAAGGACCAUCCUCCUCCAGCUGCUUAACCAGACAACAUCUAUGAACAGGAGCUCACAAAUGGAUUUUAUCCUUCGAAAUCUAAAUGGCAGCAGCAUCAGAGAUCUCUGUGAGGGCUGCUGUGAGGAGAGAGAGAAAGAGGAACUAUACCUAAGCAGGCAACCAAGGAAGACACUGAAGUCUCCCAGGAAGAGAAGACCUGGCCAGUGGACAAUCCUUGGGAGUUUGCCUCUCCCAAUUGGAAACAGUUCCAUCAAUAUGGUGAUGAUGUUUCAUAAUGACACUCAUAUUGACUAUCAAGCUAAGAAAGUCACACACCAGGCUGAGAACCUCAGAGAAGGGUGGUGCUCUGGCUGCUGUGAAGACAAUGGAACCCUGGGGGCCCUUGAGAGAAGAGAGGGAGAAGAAGUCAAAGAAGUGCCUCCUAUUAGCACUGAUCAUGGUGGUCAGGUCCUAGGGAACUCUGGUUCCACAGAGAAGAGAUUGGCUCACCUUUCUGAAGUUUCCCAUGAAGCUAGAGGGCAGUUUGAUCUCGGACUUAGUAAAUACCCUACAGAAACCUUUCCUGUCUUCCCCACAAGCUAAACCAUGCUCUAGUCUACCUUGAAUAAGACCUAGUGCAAUGCCCAGCAGGAACAGAGCACCACGAGAAAUACUUUACUUAUGCUAAAGCAAUAAUUCUGGGAAAUAAAAGGUCCUGUGUUCCAUUCCCUCCA
rnacentral:lncRNA from 1 species